GGGGUCAAGCUGGCCACAAGCAAGACCACUGUUAGGUUUGACCUCAUGGCUUGGCUAGUUGAUCAAUGGGAGUUUUGUGUACUUUUUCUGAAGCCAGGACAUGGAAGGAUGUAUAGUGAUGAGAUUCAUCAGCACGGAAGGAAACAAUGAGGAAUGCUGUGAUUCGGAGAUGAUAACCACAACCCAGUAGCUGGCAUAAUGAAAGGCAUGAGCUACCCAGAGAACUCUGACCAGUGAUACAGGAAAAAUACUAUCCAGCCCAUUGUUUAAAUUGAGAUGGAAAAAACAGCAGAUGGAAGCCUGUCCAGUGUUCUUAUUCCCUUCGGUUUCACACUCGCAUUGCCUUCAUGGAGCACAUCUGCAGGCAGAGGGCUGUGAGGAAGUUCAGUAUGUCUGCUCCCCUCCCAGUCACCCAGCAUACACCUACUGGUGCUUGCUUGGUGGCUAGAUCCCCCAUCAGACAUCCAGCACACACCUACUGUUGCUCAUUCAGUGGCUGGAUCCCCUCCCAGUCACCCAGCGCACACCUCCUGGUGCUCACUCAGUGGCUGGAUGGGGCUCUGAGCACCUGAUGGAGCUGUGGGUGUCCCUGCUCAUGGCAGGGGACUUGGACCGGAUGGCCUUUAAGAGCCCCUUCCAACUCCAGCAAUUCCACGAUUCAGUGACAAGGAGCAGUGGCACAUUGCAAUGCUGUGAAAUCACAGUUUUGGAGCCCUGGUGUUGUAAGAAGCUGGUGGUGAGGGCUGUACAGCUGUUUCAUUUCCUUGCAAACAAUGCCUCAAGCUGCUUGCGCGGUGGUGAAGCUGGAUACUUUAAAGAAAAUAAUUCUGUUUUAAUUUAUUGCAUGUAUAUAGAAUGAGGAGCAUCCAUUACAGAACAUUAAAGGCUGCCUCCUUUGAAAGGGGAAAAAAUAAAAGCUAGAAAGAGAGGAUUACAGCACAUCAUUCUGAGGAAAACUGCACUCCUCUGUGGUGCGGGUGGGGAGUGACAAAAGAAAGAGUCUUGGGACAAUGAGCAGUUGUCUGCGAGCGCAUUUUUUGCCAUAAAUCUCUGCAUGUCUGUGUUCCUUUACUUCUUUUUUUCAUUUUUUCUUUUUUUCUUAAAGCCCUUGCUUGUAUAAUUAGGUGACAAUCUUGGCUAUAGGGUUUUUUGAAAUAAAGUUCCUAGCCCUUAUGGUUUCGGAGAAAA